AUUAAAAUAAAGGAUAAACAUCAAAUUGCUCUCUGUGGUAUGGUGCAUUUUUACUUCGUUUUUCCGUGGUUCAAAAAAUUAUACUGAGCCCUCCUAUGGUUUAGUUUAUUUUUGAUUUUGUUUCUCCAUGGUUUAUGAAAGUUAUACUUAACUACAUUAUAGUUAAGCACGUUUUUUCACUUUAUUAUCCUGUGAUUUUUUAACCAUUUUGCUUUGCCAUCCUAUUUACAUAGAAUUUUUUGGUAAAAUAAAAUUUAAUCACAAAGGAGCAAAAUUUAACUUUUUAAAUCAUAAGAUGGCAAAGAAAAAAGUAUUGUAACACAAAAGGACAAUUUGAAAUUUAUCUAAAUAUCGAGUUGUAGGGUUU
rnacentral:lncRNA from 1 species